UACGUAGGGUGCGAGCGUUAAUCGGAAUUACUGGGCGUAAAGCGUGCGCAGGCGGCUUUGUAAGACAGGUGUGAAAUCCCCGGGCUUAACCUGGGAAUGGCGCUUGUGACUGCAAGGCUCGAGUGCGGCAGAGGGGGGUGGAAUUCCAGGUGUAGCAGUGAAAUGCGUAGAGAUGUGGAGGAACACCGAUGGCGAAGGCAGCCCCCUGGGUCGACACUGACGCUCAUGCACGAAAGCGUGGGGAGCAAACAGG
rnacentral:rRNA from 1 species